rnacentral:rRNA from 1 species
AUUGAACGCUAGCGGGAUGCUUUACACAUGCAAGUCGAACGGCAGCGCGGACUUCGGUCUGGCGGCGAGUGGCGAACGGGUGAGUAAUGUAUCGGAACGUGCCCAGUAGCGGGGGAUAACUACGCGAAAGCGUAGCUAAUACCGCAUACGCCCUACGGGGGAAAGCCAGGGAUCGUAAGACCUUGCACUAUUGGAUCGGCCGAUACCGGAUUAGCUAGUUGGUGAGGUAACGGCUCACCAAGGCGACGAUCCGUAGCUGGUUUGAGAGGCCGACCGGCCACACUGGAACUGAGACACGGCCCAGACUCCUACGGGAGGCAGCAGUGGGGAAUUUUGGACAAUGGGGGCAACCCUGAUCCAGCCAUCCCGCGUGUGCGAUGAAGGCCUUCGGGUUGUAAAGCACUUUUGGCAGGAAAGAAACGUCGCGGGCUAAUACACCGUGGAACUGACGGUACCUGCAGAAUAAGCACCGGCUAACUACGUG